UACGUAGGUCCCGAGCGUUGUCCGGAUUUAUUGGGCGUAAAGCGAGCGCAGGUGGUUUAAUAAGUCUGAUGUAAAAGGCAGUGGCUCAACCAUUGUGUGCAUUGGAAACUGUUAGACUUGAGUGCAGUAGAGGAGAGUGGAAUUCCAUGUGUAGCGGUGAAAUGCGUAGAUAUAUGGAGGAACACCGGUGGCGAAAGCGGCUCUCUGGCCUGUAACUGACACUGAGGCUCGAAAGCGUGGGUAGCAAACAGG
rnacentral:rRNA from 1 species